GCUUCCUGGGGGUCUUUGGGACUUCGCGAUCUGGACACAACAUUUGGGGGCUCGUCCAGGGUCCCCAAGACCCUCAGGAUCUCUGUACUGGAGGGUCGACACUGACUGCCCUUUCUGCCUCCACAGAAACAGCAGCCGGAGGUAAUCCUGACAGCCUGUGAGAAGACUCCCAGGGAGCGCGACGGAAAAAGGCAAACCGAGACCACGCCGCUUUACCCGGUCCUCCAAGGAGGAACCGAGGAAGAUCUCCUUUCCCCCGCUUUCAACUCUCUCUUUACUCCCCCACAACAACAGGCGGGGAGAGAGGUCCCGGCCCCCGCCAGAGCAGGGGAGGAGGGGCCGGCACCGGGUGCGGGCAGCGGGGAUGGCCCCGCCCAGAACACUCGCCACCGGCGCGCCGUCUCGCUAGCGGACUCUACUGUUUUCCCGCUGAGAGCGAUAGGGCCUCCUGAUGAACAUGGUAACCAGCCUCAUCAUUACUGGCCCUUCGCCACCAGUGACCUUUACAACUAGCGUACUCAGCACGCCAAAUUCUCUGAUAACCCUAGGGAUUUAAUUAACCUGUUAGAAACUGUCUUGUUCACCCAUCAGCCCACCUGAGAUGAUUGUUAACAACUUCUCCAAGCCCUUUUUUUUUACCUCCGAGAAAAGAGAAAGGAUCCAAGGGCAAGCCAUAAAAUCAGUGUUGGGAAGAACAGAGGGCCCACUUGAUGAACAACACCGGGCCCGUAUUGAGGCACAACUUCUGUCCACCCGUUCCCCAUGACAAGUUAAUUCCUGGGGCGGGAGAGAAGCUCUCCAAAACUACCGUCAGCAUCUCCUAGCUGGCUUGAGGGGAGCCACUCGAAAGACUACCAAUUUGAGCAAGGUAAGCAAGGUCCUUCAAGGACCUGAGAAAUCCCCUUCUGCCUUUCUGGAGCGUCUGUUGAAAACAUACCAUACGUAUACUCCAAUUGACCCAGAUGCCCCUACAAAUCGACAGGCAAUUAAUUUGGCUUUUGUUACUCAGUCGGCCCCAGAUAUUAGAAAGAAACUGCAGCGGAUGAAAGGAUUUGAGAGAGAGAAUAAAAAAAAGUUGAUGAGUGUGGCAAUAAAGGUGUUUAACAAUAGAGAUCCUUUUGAGGAUAAAAUGGCUAAAAAGAUAAAAAAGGAGAACAUUACAGCCUUGGCAGAUAGAGGUUUUAUCUGAAAGGAAUACAGAAAAAAAUAAAAAAAAAAAGAUUGGUGAGGCCAAGGUGGAGAUCUCCAAACACAUCCACUGACUCCAGAAAGCCAGCAUCUUGAUCCCUUGCUAGACAGCCUGGAAUACACCACUGCUUCCCGUAAAAAAGCCUGACACCUCAGACUUCAGACAGGUACAAGAUUUAUAAAAAGUAAACAGCCAGGUGGAGACUGUUCACCCAACAGUACCAAACCCCUAUACUGUGUUGAGUCUCGUCCCUCCCGGUCCUGUGUGGUACUCAGUAUUAGACCUUAAAGAUGCAUUUUCAGCCUGCCUCUAGCACCUGUGAGCCAGCCCCUCUUUGCCUUCGAAUGGACUGACCCAGACACCGGAACAACCGGACAGCUGACAUAGACCCGGCUGCCGCAGGGAUUCAAAAACUCCCCACUCUGUUUGGAAAAGCUCUCAGCAAAGAUCUGCAAGAGGGAAAAAAAAGUGUUUCCCCACGUGACUAUUCUUCAGUAUGUUGAUGACCUCCUGGUGACGACUUCAACUGAUAAAAAAUGCAUUGCAGCCACCAAGGGCCUCCUGAAAGCCCUCCAGAAACUGGGAUAUCAGGUGUCCUGAAAAAAAGCUCUACUCUGCCUGAUCGAGGUAACCUACUUGGGCUAUAUUCUUAAAAAGAGAAAAAAGAGGCUGGCAGAAUCGAGAGUAUCUGCAAUUCUCCAGAUUCUGAAGCCAGGCUCAUAAAAACAGGUGCGAGAGUUCCUAGGGGCAGUUGGCUAUUGCAGGAUUUAGAUUCCUGGCUUUUCUGAGAUUGUCAAACCCCUACAUGAGGCCACUGCGGGAGGAAAUACACCCCUCGAAUAGACUGAGGCUUGCCAGCAGACAUUUCAAUUGCUUAAGACUGAACUUGCAUCAGCACCAGCCCUGGCAUUGCCAGAAUUAAACAAGGCCUUUACCUUGUAUGUGACAGAGAAAAAUGGGGUGGCUAAGGGAGUGAUUACUCAGCUUUUGGGGCCAUGAAAGCGGCCUGUGACGUACCUCUCAAAAAAGCUCGACCCGGUGGCCCAAGGGUGGCCUAAUUGUUUGAGGACAAUAACAGCAGCAGCUGCUUUAACCCGAGAGGCUGACAAAUUGACCUUUGGACAGGAUUUAACUUUGAUCACUCCCCAUGCCAUUGAGCCCUUGUUAAACAGCUCACCUAGCAAAUGGCUGUCUAAUGCCAGACUGUUACAAUAUCAAGGACUCUUAUUAAAACAGCCACACAUUAAGUUUGCCACCACCGCUGGCCUCAAUCCGGCUACUCUACUCCCAAAAUCUGACGAACAAA